rnacentral:lncRNA from 1 species
AAGGACGCUUUCAGAAAUGUUGAAUUGUUUUGGAUGAAAGCUUUGAAGGGAAAUCAGCCUUCAACACAUACCUGGCAAGGAAAGCUUUGAUGUAAAUAUGUUCUGAUUGGACAAAGGUAUGUGCAGUAAGCCCGGGAUGCAAAAGGCACGAUGUGUUGGGCAGCCCUAACCACAGCUGGCAUACCAGCCAUGUAUGUAACCUCCACCUUUCCCUGCCUCAGCCUCGAACUUUUCGGAAAUGUGGACACAAGGAUCGGCGUGGAAUCAGUUGUGGUUUGGGUCAAGUCUGGCUUAUUGUUUGGUUUCAGCUGGGUCCCUUCAGUGAGCCCAUUUUGUUGCUGUACAUAGCUGAGAGUCUCCUGUCUGGCACUUCGGUCACACGAGCCGGACCCCAUAACGCACCAAGACAGCCUGGCCACAUAAAUGAGGUUGUAAAGGUUUGUGUAAACCAAAGGACCAAAGCAGAGAGUAGCAAAGCCAUGUACAGAACAACUAAAGAUCUUGUGGAGCCUCUUCCUUUACCUGCCCAUUUCACCCACCAUCAUCAGUGAGCAGGAGCAGGCUGCAGCCACCAUCCAUCCAGCACAGGAUUCCCCUCUACAGUGGCCAGCAACAGAUGCACAGGAGCACAACGAGGACCAUUGUAGGCUGAACUUUCUCCCAAUACAUCUUCUUGACCUUCAGCAAACACCAAUUUAGGAACUUCCUGAGGUGAGAAUUUCAUCCAAAUCCCUGCAUACCAAUAGAUAUAUUUUCCAUUAACUCAUCUAAUCACUUCUUGAAUCCAUUGGUACUUUUGGCCUCCACAAAAUCUUUCACAAUGUUAUUAUAUACUCAUGGACAAGUUUUGUUUGUUUUUAAACUUGCUGCUCAAUCAUUUUGUUGAGUGCUCUCUACUCCUUGUAUUCCAAGAAACAGUGACUAAUCAUUCUUUUUUUAGCUUCUCCUCAAUAUUUGUCACUUCAUUGGCCUGCAGAGCACCCGGAUCCAGCAACUCCUCACGUCACAGAACCUAGACGAUUUAGUCCUUCCUCACAGUGUUCUUCUCUGCAUCUUUCUCUGUUCUCCUACAGCUAUUCUGUAGCAGGGUGGGUGGAACUAAACAGAGCAUUCGGUAACCCAAGACACAGGGGCACAAAAACCAGGACAAUGUGUUCCUGUUGGCCUAUUUCUCCA